GAGUGAGUAAAAAGGAAACAGGGGGACGGACUGUUGCUCAAAUGUGUCUAAAACAUUUUAAAGCGAAUGAGAGACAUGCUCAAACCAUAUUUGCAGUGGGAAAUACAAAAAAAGAUGUGACAUGUUGGGAUGUGAACAAGCUGAGCAGAGGAGAAGAUAAAUCAACAAAUAAGAGAGAGAUGCUGAUAAGUAGGUCCAUUUGCAGUUACACUGUAAGGACUGUUGAUUUCCAUAAAAGGUUGUGUGUUUAGGAAAAAGCACAGACCACCAGAUGUAUUAAUUAUGUAUGCUGAGAAGUAAAGAUAAGGAAGCUAAUGGGGCAAUCAUACACAAAAUGGGUUAUUUCUAUUUAAUCUGUGUUAAAGAAAAUGCAUAAAUUUUUUUUGCUUUUACUUUUCUCAUCUAUCACUUCAAUUUGUUCAGAUUCUCUGAUUGAAGCCUAUGACCUGGCCUUUGCAGAAAGCAGGUCAUCAUUAUAUAACCAGGAAGUGGCCUGCCAACAUCCUGCAGCUUGUUUAUGGUGACAUCUUG
ensembl:lncRNA